AUUGAACGCUGGCGGCAGGCCUAACACAUGCAAGUCGAGCGAGCGGCGGACGGGUGAGUAAUGUCUGGGAAACUGCCUGAUGGAGGGGGAUAACUACUGGAAACGGUAGCUAAUACCGCAUACCAUCAGAUGUGCCCAGAUGGGAUUAGCGAGUAGGUGGGGUAAUGGCUCACCUAGGCGACGAUCCCUAGCUGGUCUGAGAGGAUGACCAGCCAAACUGGAGCGGAGACACGGUCCAGACUCCUACGGGAGUCAGCAGUGGGGAAGAUUGCACAAUGGGAGCAAGCCUGAUACAGCCAUGCCGCGUGUGUGAAGAAGGCCUUCGGAUUGUAAAGCACUUGCAGCGGGGAGGCGUUACCCGCAGAUGAAGCACCUGCUAACUCCGUGCGAGCAGCCGCGGUAAUUC
rnacentral:rRNA from 1 species